rnacentral:rRNA from 1 species
GACGAACCGUGCGAACGUUAUUCGGAUUCAUUGGGCUUAAAGAGCACGUAGGCGGCGACAUAAGUUGGAGGUGAAAUACUGUCGGCUCAACCGCGGAAUUGCCUUCAAUACUGUGUUGCUUGAGGAGUUUAGGGGCGAGUGGAACUUCCGGUGGAGCGGUGAAAUGUGUUGAGAUCGGAAGGAACGCCAGUGGCGAAAGCGACUCGCUGGGAAUUAUCUGACGCUGAGGUGCGAAAGCCAGGGGAGCAAACGGG